rnacentral:rRNA from 1 species
AAGAAACGCUAGCUACAGGCUUAACACAUGCAAGUCGAGGGACCGGCGCACGGGUGAGUAACGCGUAUCCAACCUGCCCACCACUUGGGGAUAACCUUGCGAAAGUAAGACUAAUACCCAAUGGUGAUGGAUGGGGAUGCGUCUGAUUAGCUUGUUGGCGGGGUAACGGCCCACCAAGGCAACGAUCAGUAGGGGUUCUGAGAGGAAGGUCCCCCACAUUGGAACUGAGACACGGUCCAAACUCCUACGGGAGGCAGCAGUGAGGAAUAUUGGUCAAUGGACGAGAGUCUGAACCAGCCAAGUAGCGUGCAGGAUGACGGCCUAUGGGUUGUAAACUGCUUUUAUAAGGGAAUAUGUACCUUAUGAAUAAGGACCGGCUAAUUCCGUGCCAGCAGCCGCGGUAAUACGGAAGGUCCGGGCGUUAUCCGGAUUUAUUGGGUUUAAAGGGAGCGUAGGCCGGAGAUUAAGCGUGUUGUGAAAUGUAGACGCUCAACGUCUGCACUGCAGCGCGAACUGGUUUCCUUGAGUACGCACAAAGUGGGCGGAAUUCGUGGUGUAGCGGUGAAAUGCUUAGAUAUCACGAAGAACUCCGAUUGCGAAGGCAGCUCACUGGAGCGCAACUGACGCUGAAGCUCGAAAGUGCGGGUAUCGAACAGGAUUAGAUACCCUGGUAGUCCGCACGGUAAACGAUGGAUGCCCGCUUUGGUAGCGGCCAAGCGAAAGCAUUAAGCAUCCCACCUGGGGAGUACGCCGGCAACGGUGCAACUCAAAGAAAUUGACGGAAUCCCGCGGCC